rnacentral:rRNA from 1 species
CUUGGCGACCAUAGCGCUUUGGACCCACCUGAAUCCAUGCCGAACUCAGUAGUGAAACGAAGCAGCGCCGAUGGUAGUGUGGGGUCUCCCCAUGUGAGAGUAGGACAUCGCCAGGC